UAUAGAGAGGAAAAAGCUUGCCGAAAAAAAUGAAGAGGACGAAAAUGCGUGCGAGAGGACAUACUAGUCCGCACCUGCCGUCGUAGCGUAUUCAUCCAGCUUGGCAAGAGACAGCUCUGGCAAUCAAGAGGGUACAUCACCAAGCACUCGAGGAAAGGCUAUCUACUGCCCGCUUACGCUGCUGUGGAGAAGACAAAGGCAUUUAUAUCCAAGGACGGCCUCUUAACAGUGCAUAUACCGAUGAAGGACUACACGAUCUCCACGGGAGAACAGAUACACGUUGCAGAAGUACCACGAGGUGUCUUCGGCGCUAAUGGUGUAGCGGUUUCGGUGCCUGUGCUCAAGGUACGAUCCUUUAAGUCGAAAUCACGAAGACGACAUUACAAUGAGCAAGAUUAGAUAACACCCAAGAUAAUACCAGAUAUAUGUUAUACAAUGAAUAAAACCCAAUCAAUUACCUUUA